GUCGUAACAAGGUUUCCGUAGGUGAACCUGCGGAAGGAUCAUUACCACACCCCAAACCAAAACUGAAGGUUCGGUCUUCGGAUCGACCUGAUGUUUGACCCGUGAAACUUCUUGGGUAGCUCCGACUCUAUGCAGUGGCCGGAUACUCUGGCUGUGUGGAAACUGCCCGCGGUCAUGCGUAGUCGUAAUAGACUCACAAGACUUAGCUUGGUGCGCCUGGUAUAGAGUCGUCUACCUUUUAACCCCAUUUAUACCGCUUCUGGCAACAGAGCGAUAUAAAACAAACAAACUGAACUAAAGCCGCGAUUAAGCCUGUAGGCUAAUAACCACAGGUCGCAAAACUAAUCAAAACACUUUCAGCAACGGAUCUCUUGUCUCCUAUAACGAUGAAGAACGCAGC
rnacentral:misc_RNA from 1 species